AUGUACCAUGAUGAUCUCAAGAGCGGUGUCACCCCUCACUGUACAGGGCAGCUGGAGCCCAUGACUAGAGCUUCAGAAAAACAUAAGGAAAAUUACCUUGGGUCUGAGAACCUCAGACAGGCUUGGAGGAGUGAGCCUUGCACAUCUGAGGAAGGAGGAGGCUCUAGGACAAGGAUGACUUGGCAAGCGUUGUUUGGACAGGAUUUUCCACUUCCCACCCAAGGACACUUUAGGUUGGUUGGAGAACUACUGCUCAAUCCCAGCAACCUGUACCUGCAGUUGGAUUACUGUUCUCUUUCUGGCCAUCCCCUCUUGCUGCCCUCUACCCUCCACCCCCAGCUUGGCCAUUGCAGAUCACCUCCACAAGGGAAGCACCUGAUGCUCGCCCCUGGUCACAGAGAUUGGUGCAGGCCAAUGAGCUUCAAGGAGACAUCACUGGGGAUUUCUAGGAAGGAAGUUUCCUAGUUCUCUGAGUGACUCUGUCAUCAAAAGGAAGAGGAAAGCCAGGAGUCACGGGCAGCCACCUUGUGACUCUGAGAUGAGCUAGCCGUGGGAUGAAGCAGAACCACAGGAGGCAGAGAGGUGAGAAUGAAAUGAACAGGCUCUUUGGUGACAGUGCUGAGCUAAGGGAAGCCUGGCCCAGAUCUGAGUUUUUCAGUAGACCUAAGUCAUUGUAUUGCAUGUAUGGUUUAAAUCACUAUGAGAUGUUGUUGAAACUGAGAACCACCUGAUAUAUGGCUUCUAAUUCUUUUUCACAAUUAAAGGUAAAUUUGCCAGGCAUAGCAGUACAUCCCUAUAAUCCCAGCACUCCAGAGGCUGAGGCAGGAGUAUCAUCAUGAGUUUGAGGCCAGCCCUGGUUACACAGUGAGUUCAAGUAGUCUGAACGACAUACCAAAACCCUGUCUCAAAAAAAAAAAAAAAAAGGUGUAUUGAAGGAGUUUGUCUUAAUAAAUGAACUCAGGAAGAUAGAUGUUGUUUCAUAUUCCCAGAUUUUAUUGUAGAUAAACUAUUUUAAUUUUAUUACUUGUUUGGAAUGAAAUCUUGUACACUUGCAUAUUUUGGAAUCAGAAAGAGAUCUGGAGCUUUGAAGCUGAAAUAUUCCACUCAUAAACUGACAGUCACAUUCUGAGGCCAAAAUAUUCUUCAGCAUUUACCAUGUUUAUACAAUGGCUAUAUAAAGCAGUUGACUGUGUCUACAGAUCAAAACAGAAUUUACUUCCCUUCUCUGCCCCUCACCCCCUCCAGGUUGAACCCAGGGCCUCAUGCAUGCUAGGCAAGCACCCUACUGGCUAUACUGUCAGCCCUAUGAUAUUUUAAGCCCUAUCCUAUGAGCAUGUUGUGAGGAAGCAAUUUGGUAUUCAUCUGAAGUACUUAGCACAAUGUGAGUGCUCAAUUCAGGAUCACUACUAAUACAAACCAUAUCUGAUUGAAGAGUAUUUGUUGGUCUGGGGAUAUAGCUCAGUGGUUCAGCGCCUGCCUGACAAGUGUGAGGUCAUGAGUUUGAUUUCCCUGUACCAAAAAAAAAGAAAGAAAGAAAAAGUAUUUGUUACUCAUAUGGACUUCCUGUGGAAAAGCUGUGAGGUUGAGCCAGGGAGAAGGACAGCCUAAUAGUCAUAUGGUGAAGUCAGGAAGGCUUAUAGCACAAAUACCAAGAUCCUAGAGACAGGAAAAUGUCAAAACCAAAGCCAAAAGUGGCUGCGAUCAGACACCUUGAAGGUGGCAUGGGAAUGGGCCAGAGUAGGUCUCCUAGCCCACAUGGCAAUUCCACUCCAUCCGAAAGAGCUCAGGCUGGGACUUAAGUGGAAAACCUUGAGACACUAGUGUGUUAGUGGCGAAGUCUAGUUACUCACUGAAAUCUUAGUCAAGCACACUUUGUGCUAUACUACAUUCAAUUACAUUUGCAUGGGAAUGUAUUUUUGUUACAUUCAGUACACUUCCUAAAUUACCUAAAAUCCUCCAGUACAAGAGGCAGAGCACCCUCUUCCCACUUCAAAAUGAGCUAAGUGAUUAUCUUGGAGUAGAGGGAAGAUGAACUGGGACUUUUUUAUGUACCUUGUGCAUUCCUCUGAUGGUUGAAGUAUUUCCAAAGUAUGUGUCUCCUUUAGCAUAUCAAG
rnacentral:lncRNA from 1 species